AGAGUUUGAUCCUGGCUCAGAGUGAACGCUGGCGGCGUGGAUAAGGCAUGCAAGUCGUGCGAUUUUCUUGAGAUGUUUAUUACGGGGUAACUUGUGAUAAACGACUCUUUAGAAUAGCGGCAAACGGGUGAGUAACGCGUGGGUGAUCUACCUUAAGGAGGAGGAUAGUUCGUCGAAAGGCGGAGUAAUACUCCAUAAUACUCUCAGUAUCGUUAUUGAGAUUUAAAGGUGGCCUCUGGUUUACUAUGCUACCGCCAUAAGAGGGGCCCGCGUCCUAUCAGGUUGUUGGUGGGGUAAUGGCCUACCAAGCCUAAGACGGGUAGCUGGCAUUAGCGUGUGUUCAGCCACACCGGGACUGAGACACUGCCCGGACUCCUACGGGAGGCUGCAGUCGAGGAUCUUUCCCAAUGGGCGAAAGCCUGAGGAUGCGACGUCGCGUGAGGGAUGAAGGCUUUCGGGUCGUAAACCUCUUUUAUUAGGGAGGAAAUCCAGAUAGUGAAUAAUUAUCUGGUUUGACUGUACCUAUUGAAUAAGCCACGGCUAACUCCGUGCCAGCAGCCGCGGUAAUACGGAGGUGGCAAGCGUUACUCGGUUUGACUGGGUGUAAAGGGUCCGUAGGCGGCCAGAUGUGUGAAAGGUGAAAUUUCUUCGCUUAACGGAGAGACUGCCUUUCAAACUGUCUGGCUCGAGGUUGGAAGAGGAGAGCGGAACUGACAGUGUAAGGGUGAAAUCUGUGGAUAUUGUCAGGAACGCCUGUGGUGAAAGCGGCUCUCUGGUCCAAUCCUGACGCUGAGGGACGAAAGCUAGGGGAGCAAACAGGAUUAGAUACCCUGGUAGUCCUAGCUGUAAACGAUGGGCACUAGGUGUUCUCGCCUUUGGCGAGGGUGUUGAAGCUAACGCGUUAAGUGCCCCACCUGGGGACUACGGCCGCAAGGCUAAAACUCAGAGGAAUUGACGGGGGCCCGCACAAGCGGUGGAACACGUGGUUUAAUUCGAUGCUACGCGAGGAACCUUACCAGGGCUUGACAUGCUGGAAGUAGCCGCCCGAAAGGGAUGGCGAUCUGUAACCAGUCAGAAGCUAGCACAGGUGCUGCAUGGCUGUCGUCAGCUCGUGCCGUGAGGUGUUACCUUAAGUGGUAAAACGAGCGCAACCCUCGCUCUUAGUUGCCAUCACUCUGGCGUUUCGUUGGAGGUUGGGCACUCUAAGGGGACUGCCUACGUUAAGUAGGAGGAAGGCGGGGACGACGUCAAGUCCGCAUGGCCCUUAUGUCCUGGGCUACACACGUGUUACAAUGGCGCGUACAACGGGAGGCUAAUCCGCAAGGUGGAGCAAAUCCUUAAAAGCGCGCCCCAGUUCGGAUUGAGGUUUGCAAUUCAACCUCAUGAAGCUGGAAUCGCUAGUAAUGGCGCAUCAGCAACGGCGCCGUGAAUACGUUCCCGGGCCUUGUACACACCGCCCGUCAAGCGCUGAAAAUGGGGGGCGCCCGAAGCCUCAUUUACGAGGUCACGGUGAAUUUCAUGAUUGGCGCUAAGUCGUAACAAGGUA
rnacentral:rRNA from 1 species